rnacentral:rRNA from 1 species
AGUUGAGCGGAGAUAUAUGGAGCUUGCUUUAUAUAACUUAGCAGCGAACGGGUGAGUAACACGUAGAUAAUCUAUCCUAUACUGGGGGAUAGCCCGAUGAAAGUUGGAUUAAUACCGCAUAUAGCUAUAUAGUUGCAUGAUUAUGUAGUGAAAGAUUUAUUGGUAUAGGAGGAGUCUGCGGCACAUUAGCUAGUAGGUGAGGUAAAGGCUUACCUAGGCGACGAUGUGUAGCCGGUCUGAGAGGAUGAACGGCCACAAUGGAACUGAGACACGGUCCAUACUCCUACGGGAGGCAGCAGUGGGGAAUAUUGCACAAUGGGGGAAACCCUGAUGCAGCAACGCCGCGUGAGUGAAGAAGGUUUUCGGAUUGUAAAGCUCUGUUAGCAGGGAAGAGGAAGGACGGUACCUGCAGAGGAAGCCACGGCUAACUACGUGCCAGCAGCCGCGGUAAUACGUAGGUGGCAAGCGUUGUUCGGAAUAACUGGGCGUAAAGGAUGCGUAGGCGGUUAAACAAGUUAUAUGUUAAAUAUAUAGGCUUAACCUGUAGAAAGCAUAUAAAACUGUUUAACUAGAGUGCAGGAGAGGUAAGUGGAAUUCCUAGUGUAGCGGUGAAAUGCGUAGAGAUUAGGAAGAACACCAGUGGCGAAGGCGACUUACUGGACUGUAACUGACGCUGAGGCAUGAGAGCAUGGGGAGCAAACAGGAUUAGAUACCCUGGUAGUCCAUGCUGUAAACGAUGGGUACUAGGUGUGGGUUGUGAAUAACAAUUCGUGCCGUCGCAAACGC